UAAAGUAAUAAUGACCUGAAACUUCUAACCUGUAAAUAAUAUAAAUUACAUCAUUAGACAGCACAUGCAAAGCUGUAAAUUAUCAAUUUCUGAUACUUGAUUAACUUUAAUGUUGAAAUGUAGAUUCUACAUUGUAGAAUACAAAAUAAAGCGAAUGAUUGUAGUUUUGAACUGCAAAAGCUGUUUGUGGUAAAAUAUUUUUUAGGCUCUAGUCUUUUCUACCCCCAAGUAGCCUAUUGUUUUGUGCCCGAACUGACUAGAUUGAAAUAUUCCCACUUUGUUUUACAUUAUAAAUUACCACUAUUUAAAAAUUGUUAUUUUAGAAUCGUGUUUCUUCAUUUCUUCUUUAUUCAUUUCCUUUCCAUUCAUUUCUUUUAUAUAUAUAUAUUUCUAAUUUUUCUAUUAGAAAAGGUUUACAUAAACGUGUAGGUAUACUUGUUGUAAACUGAGCCAAAUAUUCACAAAUUGUUUACUGCUGCAUCAUAUGGAUGCGAUUAUGGAGAAGAUGGUCCUGGAACUGAAGAACAAACAAGAAAAAUGAGGCAAGUAUUGAUGUUAGUUCCACUAAGAAUAAAUACUGCUACUGUGCUUCACAUACUGCUUUCACAGGAUUGUGCGGAAUGAUGUCUAUGCUAAAAAAACACCCGGCGGUAACUAGGCUGGCGAUGACAGAGUCCCUGACUGCUAGGCGAUUCCUGAUUGCUAAGGCUUGAUUUGACUUUCGAAGCAUCUGAACUAUCAACAAACCAUCUUCGCACCACACAAUAAAAAGGUUUACAGCUAAGAUGAAGCAACCCUCUACUUAUCGGAGUAGUUUCAGACAUCAGCAUUGAUCCAUGAAAACUAUAAACCUAAAUUCAGGAACAAAUUGCAACCAACCUCUGACAUUAUCCUUACCGUUUUUCUAAAUGUUACUUAAAUGUGCCCUUUUGUACUUCCGUUUUAACCGUGAGCGUCUUUUAACGACUGUCGUUUUACCGUUAAUUCUCAUUGUUUUGCCUUUGUAAACUUUUCUGAAUUUUGUUAGUGUGACCAAGGAGACAAAAUAAAAUCAUUUUGACUUGGA